rnacentral:lncRNA from 1 species
UAGAACUUACUAGUCUAAUAAUAAAAAAUUUAAACUUAUCUACUAUCAUGCAAAAUUUAUAGUAAAUACAAUCAACCCAUAUGUAUGCUCCUAACCAAUCAUUUGUAUUUCUGCAAGCUCAAGCCCAUAAUUGACAAUAAAAAUUAAAGAAAAGCAUAAAAAUUAAAAAAAAAAUUCUAUGUUACCCACUACACUUUAGAUAACACAUUGUCCUUAAUAUAUAGCCCCCCCC